rnacentral:rRNA from 1 species
AACGAACGCUGGCGGCAGGCCUAACACAUGCAAGUCGAGCGAGGACUUCGGUCCUAGCGGCGGACGGGUGAGUAACGCGUGGGAACGUGCCCUUUGGUACGGAAUAGCCCCGGGAAACUGGGAGUAAUACCGUAUGGUGUCUUCGGACUAAAGAUUUAUCGCCAAAGGAUCGGCCCGCGUUGGAUUAGGUAGUUGGUGGGGUAAUGGCCUACCAAGCCGACGAUCCAUAGCUGGUUUGAGAGGAUGAUCAGCCACACUGGGACUGAGACACGGCCCAGACUCCUACGGGAGGCAGCAGUGGGGAAUCUUAGACAAUGGGGGCAACCCUGAUCUAGCCAUGCCGCGUGAGUGAUGAAGGCCCUAGGGUUGUAAAGCUCUUUCAGCUGGGAAGAUAAUGACUGUACCCACAGAAGAAGCCCCGGCUAACUCCGUG